rnacentral:tRNA from 4 species
CGGGGGUUAGCGCAGUGGUAGCGCAUCUGUCUUGGGAGCAGAGGGUCGCGAGUUCGAAUCCCGCAUCCCCGACCA